rnacentral:rRNA from 1 species
GUGCCAGCCGCCGCGGUAAUACGGGGGGAGCAAGCGUUGUUCGGAUUUACUGGGCGUAAAGGGCGCGUAGGCGGCCACCGCAAGUCAGUUGUGAAAUCUCUGGGCUUAACCCAGAAAGGUCAACUGAUACUGCGGGGCUAGAGUGCAGAAGGGGCAACUGGAAUUCUCGGUGUAGCGGUGAAAUGCGUAGAUAUCGAGAGGAACACCUGCGGCGAAGGCGGGUUGCUGGGCUGACACUGACGCUGAGGCGCGAAAGCUAGGGGAGCGAACGGGAUUAGAAACCCCCGUAGUCC